CUGAAGACUAUGGAAACAUUCCCACCACUGGAACCUGGCCUGUGACUUGCCCUGUGGUCAGGAAUUGCAAAAGCUCAACAGGAGUUUACCAGGCAAAGCACGAAAACAGGACAAGGUUUCUAACGUUAAUAAAUCAAGAAAUAGAACCACAGGCAUAUCAUUGAGCAAUGUAAAGAAGACUCGCAGAAGAAUUGAAAGCAGAAACAGCUACAAGAGUGAAAAGUCAUUUCUUCCAGGGGAGAAAUCGGAUAUGACUUUCAUGAAAGAUUUUGUUUGAACAAAUGAUUCUGCAGCUGAAAUUGGUUUGAACUCCAUGAUCCCUUUUGGCUCUCAUAAUUAAUGAUUCUUUAAAAGCAGCUGUUAUUCUUUAUGCUCAGCCUAUUUGCUUCCUCAGAGAACUUCCAUCAUUUAGUCAGAAGCCCUGCAGUCUGCCCCCAGUAGGCCAUGGUUUGAAGUGACCGGUGAGUUUGUUGCCAGUUUGCUUGAUAUGAAAGUGAGACCCUGCAGUCAAUCACUUGAUGAUUGUACUCUGGAGGGCCUCCAGAGCCACUAUUAGAACGGGGACAUGCACCUUUAGGUAUUCUGCCUGGCCUCCAGCACAGUGGCUCUUGUAACCACAGGUAAGCAUUUUGGCUAAUAGUCCCCUGGUGUCAU
rnacentral:lncRNA from 1 species